rnacentral:tRNA from 1 species
UUUUUUUAUCGAAACUUACUGCAGCGAAAGCAUAUUKUCGACGUAUGAAUAAACGAUAUACUGCGAUAUCCGAUGCAUCAAUCGGAUGUCGGAGGUGUCUCUCUCUGAUCGAAGAUGAGAGAUACCGGAAGAUAAGGAGUCUUUCCCUCCCCCGAGGCGUGGUUCGUUAUCUUCGAGCUUUGCCUGCUUCGAACUUUGCUUCUUUUUUUGAAGCGAGGCAAAAAGGGCAAAAAGAAAAAAAUAAAGAGAGAUAAGGGGCAACGGUCAUGCAGCGCAAGGAGCUGCCACAGGCAGACGGAAGAGUUCGAAUAAGAGAGAAGCAGUCCUAUAGCUCAGUUGGUUAGAGCGCUACACUGAUAAUGUAGAGGUCGGCAGUUCAACUCUGCCUGGGACUACGGGGGAUUAGCUCAGCUGGCUAGAGCACCUGCUUUGCAAGCAGGGGGUCAUCGGUUCGAAUCCGAUAUUCUCCACGAAAGAAAACAGGCGAUCAUUGACAUAUUGGAAGAAAAUCAAAUAAAGAAUUUAAGUAGAGCACAACAAGCUUAAGUAUACCGCCGGCGGCAAUUGAUUGCCGGG